rnacentral:lncRNA from 1 species
GGCUACGGCUCCGAUUCGACCCCCAGCCUGGAAACCUCCACAUGCCAUGGGUGCGGCCCUAGAAGAGACAAAAAGACAAAAUAAAUACAUAAAUAAAUAAAANAUAUAAAACCCCAACAAUGCAGAGUUGAAAAGAGAGAGGCGGCAGAGAGUGGGCAGAGGUAAUGAGACGCUGGGUGUGAGUUCCCGGGAGGGGCUGGGCAGAUCAGCCCACAGAGUUCAACUGCUGGGGAAUUUUGGCUCGUAACACAACAUCCUGUAGCUGCUGGUAAACAUCAGGCCCUUUGUGGGAGAGGUGGCCCCGACCUUGGCAGAGCUGCGUCUGGGUGGGGACCCCUGGAACUCCCUGACUCACAGAGGAGAUAGCUGAAGGAGGGCGGGGCACAGGCGUGGGACAGCCGGCUGCUGCCCAGCUCACCGGUGCCACCUUCAAGCACGGGGUGGGGGAGCGGGGCUGCAGAGACACCUGUUUCCCAGGCCUCUAUCCCCACAUGGACACCCGGGGAGCCUAGGUGAGUGGGCUCAGGUUGCUCACACUUAGGUUGUCAAGAAAAAGACCCUGAAGCUUAGGGAAAAGGGUCACAGGGUAUUCACGAAGGCGAAUGACUUUUCCAGGUCACGCCGCAGGGUGGGAUGUGUUGGUGUGGCAGAGGCGACCCGCCGACUUCUGCAGUGGGGCAGGGAGAUCACCGGGGCAGGCCAGGCAGAAGCCAAGGGCUGAUGUGUCCUUUGAGAAGAAUACGGGAAGGGCAAAGCUAGGGGCGAUGGGGACGAGAAGCAAGAGCUGAAUCGUGCUCCCCUGUCUCUGGCCAGCCCUCCAUUGGCACUGGUGGGGGGCACUCCUGGGGUCCCGGCUGUCUUCUUUGUCCAGGACUUCUCUCCCCUUCUCUGUUAAUUAGGACAUUGGAGAAAUUUUCAUGAAAACUACGGUGUCUAGACUUGGGGAGCUGUGGGGAGCGCUAGGGGAAGGUUUAAUUGCAGCGUUGAGAAGACACAUGAAGACGGCAGGGUUUUGCAAGUCUCUUCUGAGGACAAAGCCGCACGGAGCUGUGGUUUCCCCGAUUGCCCUGACAUUGCCUGUCAUGUCAGGGAUGCCUUGGGUGUUUUGUCUGAGCAUUUAGGGUUGCCAAAGUGUUUGUCUCCUCAAGAAAAAGUUGCAAGGAUCUGCAGAGAAAGCUGUGCUGCCGUGCUUUGGUCUUCACCAGUCUUACUGUCAGCGGGAGCCGUCGCAAAGGGGGACAGAGGCAGACCUGAAGAUACUCCCUGCAUCUUUUGGAGAAAUAGAGGAAGUGAUGAGGAUGGAGCCGCCUACCUUGCCAAGUCUGGUUACCGGGUGUUUCUGGUUACCAAGGACACAGAUUCAAUGGCAUGUGUCCUUCAGCCUACUGUUGGGAGGACCAAGCAAAAUGCUUCCCUUGCUAACAUAUAGUAAAGCCAGGCUCACUGGUAUCCAGUUAACUAGAAAUCCCCAUGAGUCGGCCCUUCUCCACCUGGAGAGGACAAAGUGACUGGUGUUCGUGAUGAUGCCUGGAAGGUUCCAGGCCAUCCCCAAAUGCCUUUUGCUUUUCCCAGUGGAACUGUCACUGUCGUUUCUGCUGAUUAUGCAUGUAAAACUCGCUUACUAUAAAGAUUCAACACUG